rnacentral:lncRNA from 1 species
UAACAGCAGUUGUUUUUUUUUUUUUUUUCUGAAUUUUAAAAGUGUAUCUCAAUGUUUUAGCCCAUUACAUGUUGAGACAGAUAAAGUGCUUACUUGGGAAUCCAUUCGCAGUAAGCCAUCAGCAGCUGGUCAGAUACUUCUAAAAUUUUCACUUGGAAAAUCACAUUUAACAUUUCCCAAACACAAAAGCUUCCCCUGCAAAAUCAAGAGUGCUGGUGGUAGAAAGGGGUCAAGGGGAUAUGUUUCAGCAACGGUAUUCUCGGAAAGGGAAUCCAGGGGCUCUGUCCCCGAGCCAGGAUGACCAAGGGGGAGGGUCCCGGGACCACAACGGAAGCAGCAGUUGGCCAAGGACUUAAUUUUGGUGCUUCUUUCAGAACCAGACUCUCAUCAGAGUGGCAUGCUUUUACUACUACUGGAAAGACAGAGAUGAACAAACUGACUCUGAACCUGAUAGAGAGAAACACACGGAAGAGAAGGUGGCUUUACAAUUAUCAAGCCAAAUGGAUUAGAUUCCACAGAAAUCAUUUUCUCCGAAGGUUAAAAAGAGUGAUUUCCUGCAACCAGGGAAAGGAACCAAUCCUGUAAAUUCAAGACUGUGCCAAAGUUAAAGCAAGGCAUAGACUACAGCCGCCUGCAAACCUGUGG